GAAAUGCGAUAAGUAAUGUGAAUUGCAGAAUUCAGUGAAUCAUCGAAUCUUUGAACGCACAUUGCGCCCGCCAGUAUUCUGGCGGGCAUGUCUGUCCGAGCAUCAUUUCAACCAUCAAGCCCCCGGGCUUGUGUUGGGGACCUGCGGCUGCCCGCAGGCCCUGAAAACCAGUGGCGGGCUCGCUGUCACACCGAGCGUAGUAGCAAUCACCUCGCUCAGGGCGUGCUGCGGGUUCCGGCCGUUAAACAGCCUUACAAAACCCAAGGUUGACCUCGGAUCAGGUAGGAAGACCCGCUGAACUUAAGC
rnacentral:misc_RNA from 1 species